rnacentral:tRNA from 1 species
CCGACUGUAGCUCAACUGGUGAGAGCGCUGGCCUAAUGUUCUGGAGGUCGCGGGUUCAAGUCUUGCCAGCCGUC